rnacentral:rRNA from 1 species
UGCGGGAACCGCGAUAAGGGACCCCGAGUGCCAGCAUCAAAUGUUGGCUGUCCGGAUGAUUAAAGAUCAUUUGUUAGCAAGGGCCGGGCAAGACCGGUGCCAGCCGCCGCGGUAACACCGGCGGCCCGAGUGGUAGCCGUUUUUAUUGGGUCUAAAGGGUCCGUAGCCGGCCUGAUCAGUCCUUUGGGAAAUCUGGCAGCUUAACUGUCAGGCUUCUAAGGGAUACUGUCAGGCUUGGGACCGGAAGAGGUAAGGGGUACUCCAGGGGUAGGAGUGAAAUCUUGUAAUCCCUGGGGGACCAUCUGUGGCGAAGGCGUCUUACCAGAACGGGUCCGACGGUGAGGGACGAAAGCUAGGGGAGCAAACCGGAUUAGAUACCCGGGUAGUCCUAGCUGUAAACGAUGCUCGCUAGGUGUCAGACACGGUGCGACCGUGUUUGGUGCCGCAGGGAAGCCGUUAAGCGAGCCACCUGGGAAGUACGGUCGCAAGGCUGAAACUUAAAGGAAUUGGCGGGGGAGCACUACAACGGGUGGAGCCUGCGGUUUAAUUGGAUUUCCAACGCCGGAA